AGUGAACGCUGGCGGUAGGCCUAACACAUGCAAGUCGAACGGCAGCACAGUAAGAGCUUGCUCUUACGGGUGGCGAGUGGCGGACGGGUGAGGAAUACAUCGGAAUCUACUUUUUCGUGGGGGAUAACGUAGGGAAACUUACGCUAAUACCGCAUACGACCUACGGGUGAAAGCAGGGGAUCUUCGGACCUUGCGCGAUUGAAUGAGCCGAUGUCGGAUUAGCUAGUUGGCGGGGUAAAGGCCCACCAAGGCGACGAUCCGUAGCUGGUCUGAGAGGAUGAUCAGCCACACUGGAACUGAGACACGGUCCAGACUCCUACGGGAGGCAGCAGUGGGGAAUAUUGGACAAUGGGCGGAAGCCUGAUCCAGCCAUGCCGCGUGGGUGAAGAAGGCCUUCGGGUUGUAAAGCCCUUUUGUUGGGAAAGAAAAGCAGCAGGUUAAUACCCCGCUGUUCUGACGGUACCAAAAGAAUAAGCACCGGCUAACUUCGUG
rnacentral:rRNA from 1 species